CUUGAUGAAGAAAAAACAGCUUGUAUACUGUCCAGUGACUAAAUUGGUAAAAUUGCAGACAAGUAUCUCUCCAGGGAAUUCACAAAAACAGAGUAAAAUCACAUGAAGAUGAAGUAUUUUAAUUAUAGAAUUGUAAGUUUGUUAAAGAUUUAAGCCAUGUGCUUUACAACUAAUAUUAUGACUGCACUGG